AGCGGCUCAAAAUCCAUAAGGAUAACCUAGCCGCUUGUCUCCUGCAGAUAACUUAUUUUUGUGGUUCUGUGUUAUCAGCAUAAGUGUUAAACUUUUUCAACCAAACAAAAAAAAACAAAAAAAACAAGAUAAUUUCACGCAAAACCGGAGCAAUAUGCGUAUACCACGUAUACCACGCGAAAUAUGCGGAGGCAGAGUAAAAUGUUUUAAAAAUGAAUAUAUAUAUUGCAACAAUUCACCUCCAUCAACUUUUUGCUUAAGAAAAUACACGAUAUUAGUAGGCCUACGCGAAUCAUCUAGCAACUGCUAUGUGCGCCUUCCGAGAAACAAUACCCAGACUGUGAUACCUGUAAAAAUAUCGUUGUUUUACGAUACUCGUACAAGCAAGAUAAUCGACUACAAAAUGUGGAUGAACCUCUCAACAUUAAUUUAAAACAAGCGACGGUAUAUUAACACGCAACAGAGAAACAAGUAAACAGCAGGAACAUCUACUUUACGCAGAAACUAAAUAUCAUUCAUUAUUUGUUUAAAAAAUGACAAAUUCUUGAAAGAACCUAAAUAUUAUGAAAAAGAGAAAUUUCGUAUUUAGAUGUUAUACGACUUUUAAGAUUAGGCUAUAAAGAAUGCGUCAUUGAGUCAUAAAAAUGUGCCUGAAUUGAUAAGUAGGUCGAACAAGUAGGUAUCAAAAAUUGUUCAAGCAAGGAAUUUUGAUCUUCAUUUUCGAGGAAAUGAUUGGCACAUUUGUCGCAUAUGAUGCUACUUCUACAAACGCUAGUAUUAUCCACUUUUCCGUAUUAUCAAUUAUAAACAUUAUUAUACUUAUAAUUAUAUGACUGGUCCGUAAUCUUGCGAUUAUGUAAGAAUAAAUUGUCAUUAUGCAUCAG